rnacentral:RNase_P_RNA from 1 species
CCUGGAGGAAGGACGGCCGCUCCGGCCACAACCGGAGAGGAAAGUCCAGACAGCGUAGAGCAAGGUGUCCGGCGCAAGCCGGGGCCGACCCGCGAGGGUCGGACGGACAGGGCCACAGAGACGUAGCCCGUGCCCGUGAGGGUACGGGGGUGAAACGCGGUAACCCCCACCUGCUGCAACCUCGAGCAUGGCCGCCGACGCUGCUCGCCGAGGCCAGGGUAGAGGGCACCCGGGAAUACUGGGCUGGUCUUGAACGAGACCAGAGAUAGAUGGCCGUCGUCAACAGAAUCUGGCUUACAUUCCUCCAGGCACC